rnacentral:rRNA from 1 species
AACGCUAGCUACAGGCUUAACACAUGCAAGUCGAGGGGCAGCAUUAGGUAGCAAUACUGAGAUGGCGACCGGCGCACGGGUGCGUAACGCGUAUCCAACCUUCCCGUUACUCUUGGAUAGCCUUCCGAAAGGGAGAUUAAUACAAGAUGGUGUUGAAAUUCCGCAUGUUAUUUCAACUAAAGAUUUAUCGGUAACGGAUGGGGAUGCGUGACAUUAGAUAGAUGGCGGGGUAACGGCCCACCAUGUCCACGAUGUCUAGGGGUUCUGAGAGGAAGGUCCCCCACACUGGAACUGAGACACGGUCCAGACUCCUACGGGAGGCAGCAGUGAGGAAUAUUGGUCAAUGGCCGGAAGGCUGAACCAGCCAAGUAGCGUGAAGGAUGAAGGUUCUAUGGAUUGUAAACUUCUUUUAUAGGGGAAUAAAACCUCCCACGUGUGGGAGCUUGUAUGUACCCUAUGAAUAAGCAUCGGCUAACUCCGUGCCAGCAGCCGCGGUAAUACGGAGGAUGCGAGCGUUAUCCGGAUUUAUUGGGUUUAAAGGGAGCGUAGACGGGAGAUUAAGUCAGCUGUGAAAGUUUGAGGCCCAACCUUAAAAUUGCAGUUGAUACUGGUUUCCUUGAGUGCGGUUGAGGUGUGUGGAAUUCGUGGUGUAGCGGUGAAAUGCUUAGAUAUCACGAAGAACUCCGAUUG